rnacentral:rRNA from 1 species
CAAGGCUGAGGCGUGAUGACGAGGCACUACGGUGCUGAAGCAACAAAUGCCCUGCUUCCAGGAAAAGCCUCUAAGCAUCAGGUAACAUCAAAUCGUACCCCAAACCGACACAGGUGGUCAGGUAGAGAAUACCAAGGCGCUUGAGAGAACUCGGGUGAAGGAACUAGGCAAAAUGGUGCCGUAACUUCGGGAGAAGGCACGCUGAUAUGUAGGUGAAGUCCCUCGCGGAUGGAGCUGAAAUCAGUCGAAGAUACCAGCUGGCUGCAACUGUUUAUUAAAAACACAGCACUGUGCAAACACGAAAGUGGACGUAUACGGUGUGACGCCUGCCCGGUGCCGGAAGGUUAAUUGAUGGGGUCAGCGCAAGCGAAGCUCUUGAUCGAAGCCCCGGUAAACGGCGGCCGUAACUAUAACGGUCCUAAGGUAGCGAAAUUCCUUGUCGGGUAAGUUCCGACCUGCACGAAUGGCGUAAUGAUGGCCAGGCUGUCUCCACCCGAGACUCAGUGAAAUUGAACUCGCUGUGAAGAUGCAGUGUACCCGCGGCAAGACGGAAAGACCCCGUGAACCUUUACUAUAGCUUGACACUGAACAUUGAGCCUUGAUGUGUAGGAUAGGUGGGAGGCUUUGAAGUGUGGACGCCAGUCUGCAUGGAGCCGACCUUGAAAUACCACCCUUUAAUGUUUGAUGUUCUAACGUGGACCCGUGAUCCGGGUUGCGGACAGUGUCUGGUGGGUAGUUUGACUGGGGCGGUCUCCUCCUAAAGAGUAACGGAGGAGCACGAAGGUUGGCUAAUCCUGGUCGGACAUCAGGAGGUUAGUGCAAUGGCAUAAGCCAGCUUGACUGCGAGCGUGACGGCGCGAGCAGGUGCGAAAGCAGGUCAUAGUGAUCCGGUGGUUCUGAAUGGAAGGGCCAUCGCUCAACGGAUAAAAGGUACUCCGGGGAUAACAGGCUGAUACCGCCCAAGAGUUCAUAUCGACGGCGGUGUUUGGCACCUCGAUGUCGGCUCAUCACAUCCUGGGGCUGAAGUAGGUCCCAAGGGUAUGGCUGUUCGCCAUUUAAAGUGGUACGCGAGCUGGGUUUAGAACGUCGUGAGACAGUUCGGUCCCUAUCUGCCGUGGGCGCUGGAGAACUGAGGGGGGCUGCUCCUAGUACGAGAGGACCGGAGUGGACGCAUCACUGGUGUUCGGGUUGUCAUGCCAAUGGCACUGCCCGGUAGCUAAAUGCGGAAGAGAUAAGUGCUGAAAGCAUCUAAGCACGAAACUUGCCCCGAGAUGAGUUCUCCCUGACCCUUUAAGGGUCCUGAAGGAACGUUGAAGACGACGACGUUGAUAGGCCGGGUGUGUAAGCGCAGCGAUGCGUUGAGCUAACCGGUACUAAUGAACCGUGAGGCUUAACCUUACAACGCCGAAGGUGUUU